rnacentral:rRNA from 1 species
UACAGAGACGUCGAGCGUUGUUCGGAUUCAUUGGGCGUAAAGGGUGCGUAGGCGGUGAGGUAAGUUGGAUGUGAAAUCUCAGGGCCUAACCCUGAAAGUGCAUCCAAAACUGCCUUGCUUGAGGACUGGAGGGGAGACUGGAAUUCUCGGUGUAGCGGUGAAAUGCGCAGAUAUCGGGAGGAACACCAAUGGCGAAGGCAGCUCGCUGGGACGUUACUGACGCUGAGACGCGAAAGCGUGGGGAGCAAACAGG